rnacentral:ncRNA from 1 species
CCUCGGGGUGCUUCGGAAACGAAGCUGAGAUGCCAAUCCGGCGAACCCGUUGAACCUGAACCGGUUAAGACCGGCGGAGGGAAGGUUU